UUGGCUAGAAUCCAAAGUGUAUGACAUCUCAGGAAAUAAAAGCACCAAAAUAAAGCACCGAAAUGUGCGCUGCUUUUCGGUCUGGUUACUACCGUUUAUGUCAGACACCGGUACCCAUCCCUACAUAUGUAGAGUAUUAUUGUAAAACUGUAGCUGAUGAAAUCGACCCAGGAGGUUUUUGUUAGUGUGUCUGCCUUUAAACACUUACACUAAAAAUCUUUAAAAAAUUCUGAUCAAACUGUGCUGAGUUGCAGAGCUCACGGUCACAUCCACCCACUUAUCCAGCUCAGGGUGGCUGGGGUGGGGGGUGGAGCCUAUCGCAGCUUUUUCAGGGUUCGUGGUAACGAUCCUUUAAAAUCUGUCCUCCAUCCAUCGACGUGUUCGAGGUUCAUGAUUCAUCGGUGGAAAAUUGACAAAAAGCCAAAAACUUUGAUUCUUCUUCUUAUUUAGAUUUUAAGCCCAACAAGGGACAAUUGUUGAAAAUUAGCAGUAGCUAUAGACCUAUGUGCGUUUCAUCAGUUUCAUGUCUUACACUUGAACUAUGUUAAACUGCACUGUCCCUUUUAAAUAAAUAAAUUCUAAAUUCUACAGUGUGCUGUAGAUUUAAAAUACUGUCUUUGACCUCUGACCUUUCCUCCAAGUCAGUAGAUUGAUCUGAAGGUCAAAGUGAUAAAAAUCCUUUAUAGACAUUUUUAUAAAGACAAAAGCUUGUUAGGUAACAAAUGUUGGCCUGAGAUAGUUUCUGAGUGCAGUUUAUUCAUUUCAUGAACACAUGAAUAAUGUUCCUGUUAAAUUUAAACUGUUUCACUUGGUACUAAUGACUAAACAUUUAAAUGUCAGACGUCUCCUGUAGUCACAUUUAAAACAAUGAUUAUAUUCAAAUUUAAAUCAAGUAAACUUGGAAAAAAGUAGAUUUGUGUUGACUGACUUUGUGUUUGACUCAUGUUUGUGUGCAGACGUGUUCGCUGAAGCUUCAGCUGUUCACAAAAAGCACAGACAGCUCAUCAGCUGCUCAGCUUCCUUCUUGUCUCACCGUCAUCAGUCUGUUAAUAACACAUGAAUGAACCUGGACAUUCAAACACAGAAGCUUCUCUCUGUUCAUGUCUUUGAUUAUAUUACUCUGUGAUUCAGGGCUUUCUGCUGCUCUCGUCUCUUCCAGCUCCGUUAGUUAUUCCUUAGUAUUCUUGGUGAUUAAUAGUCUUUAGGUUUAGUUAAUGUUCCUCACCUGUGUUUCAUGUUACGUCCAGUUAUCCUGGUUUCUAUAUCAGUCUAUUUCCUGUUUUACUUUGACAGUCCUGUGUCCCGUGUUAGGUUCAGCUGUGUCGCGUGUUCCCUCGUUAGCCUCUGUAUUUACUGUGUGUGUUCCUCGGCGUCUCGUCUUGUCCACUGCGUAUCGCAGUCUCAGGUUUCUUCAGGUCUCAGGUUCUGGAUUGUUGUUUUAUGUUUCUUGGGUUAGUGUGUUUAGCUUUUCCCAGUUUAGGUUGUUGUUCCCCUUUGCUUGUUGUUUUUUAGUGUUUUUGUGCAGCCAAACAUAAAGACUCGCCUUCUGUUAAACUUCCAGCUCCAUCUCCGUUUGUCUGCAUUUGGGUCGGCGUGCUGUCACCUCCACGCCAUCUGCAGACAUGAAACAGGGAUACAAGAAUAAAAGAGAUAAACCUUCGUUAUGCAAGCCAGAGUCACACAAUGAUGUCAUUAAAACGACUUUAAUGUUAAAGCAACAUACAUGUCAGGUUUAAAUUAUUUUUAAUGCAGUGAAGUUAGAAAAACAACAGGAAACUUUUCAACUUCACACAUUUGUAGCUUAAAGAUUCAGAAUUGUGGGACCUGAAUGUGGAAACUAGUUGGACAGUUUGAGUUAAUGAAUAAUAGAUAAAGAAGUCCUGAUGUCACAUGACUGCAGCGUCCACAGCCUGAGUGCUUCAUCUGUUUAUAAUCAUUCAAACAGAGACAGUGAGCGCAGCCGACACGUGAUCGUGUGUAAAUGUUUCUGACAUUUAUCAUCACUGACCGACGAACACGCCGAGCUGAUGAGAAACAUGUUGACGUUCCUGUUGUGAGCCCACUCAGAGUGUGUUCAUGUUCCUGUGAGCUGAUGACUUCAGUCAGGAUGAAGCUGGACGUGUGCUGCUGCCUGUUAGCAGCCGCUGCUCUGGGCUCUAACGUCGCUGCAGAUUUCAUCCAUAAAAUUCUUGAAGAGAAGCAGCUCAUCGCUCUGCACUGUCCUCACUCUGUGGAGGGUGAAGUGAGGUGGAGCAGAGAGAGUGGAGGAAGCAGAGCUGACAUACUUACAGCUGAUGGAGACGGAGACAAAACACAUCAAUGAUCCACAGAAACGAUACGAUUCACAGGCUGACGGGUCUCUGAUCAUCCUCAGAGCUGCUCUCUCAGACUCUGGGAGAUACUUCUGUAACCAUGAAGCAGCUGUGGAGCUGACAGUGAUCCAUCAGGAACUACAACCGUGAGCGCCACAGUAAGGAGCGGCGUCUCUCUGCAGACGUGUCCGAGUCUCCAACAUGGACGAGGCAGAUCGGUGCAGACACCACCACCGUCUUCGGUCACAGCGAGACGGAGGAGCGCGCUCAGCGUUCACCUGACGAGAACACGCUGACUUUAACAGACGUUCAGCUCGGCGACUCUGGACUGUACUCCUGUGCUGAGGGAGCAGCGGUUUAUCUGAAUGAGACCAAAGACCCGACUGACACGUCGCAGAAAGCAGCUGUAAAUGAAAGCGUGUUUAUUCAGCCUCUAAUAUCAGGGGCUCAUUUUGAGCAGCGGCUGGUUCUGGGUGCUGUCGCCCCCCUCAUCUUCAUCACGGUCAUCCUCCUCUUCAUCACGUGGAGAUGCAGAAAUAAAAGAAAAGAACGAAGUGAAAGUGUUUGUGCUGAGAGACACUGAAGGCUGAAGCUGCAUGUCUCUGUGUGAUGAGACACUUUAAACUGCUGCAGGUCUGGGUGCAGCGAGGUCACGCUCAGGAAACCAGUUUGAGAUGAUGGGACCUUUGAGGCAGGUGUCCUCACAGGGGACAAGUGACCUCAGUGUCAUUCGUUUUUUCUGUCAUCUUAUGUUAAAGGAAGGAAAUGUUACAGUGUGAACCUCUGUGAAGUUAUUUAUGUCCAUGUGUGUCAGGCAGAGCCUAAAGUUGAUCCUGUGGGCAGAGAUCCAUCAGGCAGAGGCAAUGAAAUUCCUGCUUUUCCAGUAUUUUUCUCACUUCCAUGGAAUUAAAAAGAAAAAGACAAAACUGUUGAGUGAACAAAAGCUUGUUUUUCCCUAAAGGUGGAUCUCAUCAGGGUGAUGUCACGUACUCGCUUCAUCCUCCAGCUCUGGGAAACAAACCUGGUAAAGCCUCAGAGAUAUUUGAGGAUAUAAUGAAAUAUUCACGUGUGUCUCCUGCAGCGCCGCGAGCCAACACGUGUGUUUACUCUGUGAUCAAACUGCACCGACAGGAACCCUGAAGGAAAUCCUGAGGAUCAAACCUUCCACGCCUCCUGCUGCGAGCUUCUGCUCACGUUUCACUUUAACUUUCAAAAUUAUUUUGAUUCUUGGAAAUCAGUCAAAUCAAAUUAAUAUUCAUUGUGCUGGUUAAUAAAACAUAACAAUGAUGUCAUCGUGUUUACCUUUUGUUUGACUUUCACACAAACAUUCAGAGGAACAAAGAAAUAUCCAAUUAAAAUCUCAGCUAGUCCUUCAAAUCUUCUUCAUCUGAGAGCUUCCAGCUCCUCAUCAGAUCCAUGUGACACAGCAGACCUGCAGCGGGAGCACGCCUCUUUAUUUUCCAGGCCGCUGACACUCCCUGAGUCACUGAGGAUGAGGAAGGAGAGGAAGAGCGGUGCAGGGACAGACGGGCUCGAGGCACAUCGACAGCUCUGCAGCUCCACGUUUGUUCCUGAACAUGUUCACUCUGCUGGUCUCCUGUCACGUUUGGUUCCUGCUCUCAGGUCUGAUCGGCUGCACGGAAAACUCCACAGCGAUCUGGUUUUCAGUCCCUGAGAAUCACCACGUCUGUCUGCCCUGCGGCAGCUCUGGCAGCUCCGACGUGAUCUGGACUCUGCAGGAUCAGGAGGUCCUGGUGACCCGACGAGGCAGCUACAAGACCAACAAGGACCGCCAGCGCUACCUCCUCAUGGUUAAUGGCAGCCUCUGCAUCCUGCAUCUGGAGGAGUCGGAUCAUGGAGGAUACCGCUGUAACCAGCAGCUGGUGGCUGAGCUGCAGGUGCUGACAGGUCGGAACUACACGGUGUCCGCAGGCCGGACGCUGCUGCUCCCCUGCAGCGGCUCCUCCAAACCCAAACAGAGGUGGUUCCAGCAGAGGGAGGGCGAGAGGCGGGAGGCCGUCCUCACCAAGUACAGAAACGGUACGGUGAAACCAGAGAGGGGCGGCGGCCGGCUGAGCUUCACCAACGACGCCCUGCAGAUCCAGGACCUGCAGCCAGAGGACGCUGGAGAGUACGUCUGCAACGGGGUGCUGCAGGCCAGAGUCACGGUCCUCACAGCACACGCAGAGACGAGCAGCCAGCCUCCGUCCACCAGCACAACUCCAUCACCUGCAGUCGUGACAGCAGAAGUGGAAGAAAUAAAGAAGAAGAGCAACACGAGACCUGAGAACGGUCAGUCCGGUUAUAAAUCACCUGUAGUUUUCUGCCAGAUGUGUCACAUGUUCAUGGACCAGAUGUUGUGUGCGCUCUCAGUUCUGCUGCUGGUUGCUGUCGUCAGUGUGGGCUUGAUGAUCAUCUUCUUAGCUGCUGUCUGUGUGUUGCUGACCAGCAUGAAGUGCAGGAGGAAGAAACGCAGAGCUGCAGGAUCCAGUAUUAGACUCAGCAUGUUUUCUGAAGAUCCUGUGCUCUUCAUCUCUUCAUCACCACCUCUGCGUGUAGCAGCACCGACACGUGACGACACGGAGCUGCAGCCGUGGACGACGUCCAGCGCACCGACAGAGGGUGAGGACUUAGAGACCCCGCCCCUCUGUGGGGAGACGAUCCACUACGCCUCUCUGGGCCGACAGAACUGGAGGGAGAGACCCAGCAGGAGUCCGCCGGAGCAGAGCCACCACAGCGUCAUCUACUCCUCCGUCAUCAGCAGACCUGCAGCGAGAGCUGAGCACAAACUCUGAAAGCUAAAGUCUGAAUGUACAGUCGUGUGACGGGAAGCUUUAAAAUCACAUCCCUGUGUGAAAGUGCAGCUUAGUUUCACUUUGGCCAAAAUACACCUGUAACACAAGCUGUUAAACUCCUGUCAGUCAGUUUGGUUUUCAUGUUUCACUUUCACUGUCUGCUUCAGGCAGCAGAGCUGGUUUCACAGAGACUUUACAUGUUACACCGAGGAGUCGUUUACACAUGUGGAGCGUCACAUCUGGACAGGCUGCCGUCUUUAUAAACAGAGGUCAGGACA